rnacentral:misc_RNA from 1 species
AAAAAACUCAAAAUUUCAGUUUUAAAGAAUCCCAGAGACCACUCUCAGUCUCUUCCUUGUGGUAUCUCUCCCAACCUCAAAGAGAAAAGCAGUAGUAAGAUAACAAGAAAAUGCACGAAAUUCUUUCUUUAUUUUCAAACAAACAAUAAAAGAUAUCUGUUAAUGCAACUCACAUGAUCACCAAUUAUAUAUACUGAUAUCAUUACCAAAUAAUUCUUCCCCACACAGCCAAAAUGAUUAUAAUAGCAAGUACUAAUAUUAAAAAUUAUUAUUCCUUAAAAGUUGCCUUUUUCCCUUUCCCAAAAUCCCACUUUUAUUUUUUAAAAAAGAGUAUGAAAACAGUAAAGGUAAGCUAAAUAAGAAAACAGGAAUUUACCCACUGAGAAUUUAUUUCCCAGA